CAUGGCCACUGUGCCCUGCCAGUAGCCACUCUGACCCACCAUCUUCCUGCAACCCCCGAUCCUGCCAGUUUUGGAGGUGCUCGUGUUUGGAAGAGAUGCAGGGAUGGCAGAGGCCUGGCUCUGCAGCCAGGAGCCGCUGGUGCGCAGCGCUGAGCUGGGUUGCACGGUCGACGAAGUUGAGAGCCUCAUCAAGCGGCACGAGGCCUUCCAGAAGUCAGCAGUGGCCUGGGAGGAGCGAUUCUGUGCGCUGGAGAAGCUUACUGCGCUAGAGGAGCGGGAGAAGGAGCGAAAGAGAAAGAGGGAGGAGGAGGAGCGGAGGAAACAGCCGCCUGCUCCCGAACCCACAGCCAGUGUGCCUCCAGGGGACCUGGUGGGCGGCCGGACAGCUUCUGACACCACCUGGGACGGAACCCAGCCACGGCCACCACCAUCCACACAAGCACCCAGUGUUAAUGGAGUCUGCACAGAUGGAGAGCCCUCACAGCCCCUGCUGGGACAACAGAGACUGGAGCACAGCAGCUUCCCCGAAGGGCCGGGACCUGGCUCAGGGGACGAAGCCAAUGGGCCCCGG
rnacentral:sRNA from 1 species